CUGGCUCAGGAUGAACGCUAGCGGCGCGCUUAACGCAUGCAAGUCGAGCGAUGAGGCUCCCUUCGGGGAGUACAUCAGCGGCAGACGGGUGAGUAACACGUAGAUAACCUGCCCUCAAGACGGGGACAACCGGUGGAAACAGCGGCUAAUACCCGAUAUGCUCACAGGAUCGGGAGAUCGAGUGAGGAAAGGCUUUGGUGCUUGAGGAGGGAUCUGCGGCCCAUCAGCUAGUUGGUGAGGUAACGGCUCACCAAGGCGAAGACGGGUAGGGGGUGUGAGAGCAUGGCCCCCCACAAUGGGACUGAGACACGGCCCAUACUCCUACGGGAGGCAGCAGCGGGGAAUAUUGCGCAAUGGACGGAAGUCAGACGCAGCGACGCCGCGUGGGUGAGGAAGGCCUUCGGGUUGUAAAGCCCUUUUCAGGGGAGCGAGAAAGGACGGUACCCUUGGAAUAAGCGUCGGCUAACUACGUGCCAGCAGCCGCGGUAAGACGUAGGACGCAAGCGUUAUCCGGAUUUACUGGGCGUAAAGCGCCUGUAGGCGGUCAAGUAAGUCGGAUGUGAAAGCCCCGUGCUCAACGCGGGGAAGCCAUUCGAUACUGCGUGACUAGAGAACGGCAGAGGGAAACGGAAUUUCUGGUGUAGCGGUAAAAUGCGCAGAGAUCAGAAAGAACACCGAUGGCGAAGGCAGUUUCCUAGGCCGCAUCUGACGCUGAGAGGCGAAAGCUAGGGGAGCAAACAGGAUUAGAGACCCUGGUAGUCCUAGCUGUAAACGAUGGAUGCUAGGUGUGGGCCGGAAAGGUCCGUGCCGUAGUUAACGCGAUAAGCAUCCCGCCUGGGGAGUACGGCCGCAAGGCUAAAACUCAAACCGAAUUGACGGGGACC
rnacentral:rRNA from 1 species